AACGCGAAGAACCUUACCAGCUUUUGACAUGUCCCGUUUGGGGCGCAGAGAUGCGCUCCUUCAGUUCGGCUGGCGGGAACACAGGUGCUGCAUGGCUGUCGUCAGCUCGUGUCGUGAGAUGUUGGGUUAAGUCCCGCAACGAGCGCAACCCUCGCCCUUAGUUGCCAUCAUUCAGUUGGGCACUCUAAGGGGACUGCCGGUGAUAAGCCGCGAGGAAGGUGGGGAUGACGUCAAGUCCUCAUGGCCCUUACAGGCUGGGCUACACACGUGCUACAAUGGCGGUGACAAUGGGCAGCGAAGGGGCGACCUGGAGCUAAUCCCAAAAAGCCGUCUCAGUUCAGAUUGCACUCUGCAACUCGAGUGCAUGAAGGUGGAAUCGCUAGUAAUCGUGGAUCAGCACGCCACGGUGAAUACGUUCCCGGGCCUUGUA
rnacentral:rRNA from 1 species